rnacentral:tRNA from 2 species
UGGGGUGUCGCCAAGUGGUAAGGCUGUGGACUUUGACUCCACCAUUCGUAGGUUCGAAUCCUGCCACCCCAG